GCUGCAUGAGUGAUCGCUAGUAUCGCGCAUCAGCAUGGCGCGGUGAUACGUUCCCGGACCUUGUACACACCGCCCGUCAGCGAUGGAAGUUGGGAGGACCUGAAGACAGUUGUUGUAAGACGCUGUUUAGGGUUAAACUGAUAACUGGCGCUAAGUCGUAACAAGGUAGCCGUACCGGAAGGUGCGGCUGGAACACCUCCUUUCUGGAACCCCGACAUGGUCGGGGCCAAAGAGAACCUGUCGACUCUCGAAGGGUCUGCUAUCAAUUACAUUUAUUCGAGUCAUUAUGAAAGGCUGAAAGCUUCAAGCUGAAGGCAAAGAGCUGAAGGCCAGCAUCACUGAAGGUUACGAGCAAGAGAAGAUCUUUAGGCUUUUAGGGCUUAAAGGCUUUUAGCGAAGAGGGCUUGUAGCUCAGGUGGUUAGAGCGCUACACUGAUAAUGUAGAGGUCCGUGGUUCGAGUCCAUUUAGGCCCACCAA
rnacentral:rRNA from 1 species